AAAAUUGCAGUUGAUACUGUCAGUCUUGGGUACAGUAGAGGUGGCGGGAAUUCGUGGUGUAGCGGUGAAAUGCUUAGAUAUCACGAAGAACUCCGAUUGCGAAGGCAGCUCACUGGACUGCAACUGACACUGAUGCUCGAAAGUGUGGGUAUCAAACAGGAUUAGAUACCCUGGUAGUCCACACAGUAAACGAUGAAUACUCGCUGUUUGCGAUAUACAGUAAGCGGCCAAGCGAAAGCAUUAAGUAUUCCACCUGGGGAGUACGCCGGCAACGGUGAAACUCAAAGGAAUUGACGGGGGCCCGCACAAGCGGAGGAACAUGUGGUUUAAUUCGAUGAUACGCGAGGAACCUUACCCGGGCUUAAAUUGCAGUGGAAUGAUGUGGAAACAUGUCAGUGAGCAAUCACCGCUGUGAAGGUGCUGCAUGGUUGUCGUCAGCUCGUGCCGUGAGGUGUCGGCUUAAGUGCCAUAACGAGCGCAACCCUUAUCUUUAGUUACUAACAGGUCAUGCUGAGGACUCUAGAGAGACUGCCGUCGUAAGAUGUGAGGAAGGUGGGGAUGACGUCAAAUCAGCACGGCCCUUACGUCCGGGGCUACACACGUGUUACAAUGGGGGGUACAGAAGGCAGCUAGCGGGUGACCGUAUGCUAAUCCCAAAAGCCUCUCUCAGUUCGGAUCGAAGUCUGCAACCCGACUUCGUGAAGCUGGAUUCGCUAGUAAUCGCGCAUCAGCCACGGCGCGGUGAAUACGUUCCCGGGCCUUGUACACACCGCCCGUCAAGCCAUGGGAGCCGGGGGUACCUGAAGUACGUAACCGCAAGGAUCGUCCUAGGGUAAAACUGGUGACUGGGGCUAAGUCGUAACAAAGGUAGCCGUAGCC
rnacentral:rRNA from 1 species